rnacentral:rRNA from 1 species
UAGGGAAUCUUCCGCAAUGGGCGAAAGCUUGACGGAGCAACGCCGCGUGAGUGAUGAAGGUCUUCGGAUCGUAAAACUCUGUUAUUAGGGAAGAACAAAUGUGUAAGUAACUAUGCACGUCUUGACGGUACCUAAUCAGAAAGCCACGGCUAACUACGUGCCAGCAGCCGCGGUAAUACGUAGGUGGCAAGCGUUAUCCGGAAUUAUUGGGCGUAAAGCGCGCGUAGGCGGUUUUUUAAGUCUGAUGUGAAAGCCCACGGCUCAACCGUGAAGGGUCAUUGGAAACUGGAAAACUUGAUUGCAGAAGAGGAAAGUGGAAUUCCAUGUGUAGCGGUGAAAUGCGCAGAGAUAUGGAGGAAAACCAGUGGCGAAGGCGACUUUCUGGUCUGUAACUGACGCUGAUGUGCGAAAGCGUGGGGAUCAAACAGG